GAUGAACGCUGGCGGCGUGCUUAACACAUGCAAGUCGAACGGAAAGGCCGAAGCUUGCUUCGGUACUCGAGUGGCGAACGGGUGAGUAACACGUGGGUGAUCUGCCCUGUACUUCGGGAUAAGCUUGGGAAACUGGGUCUAAUACCGGAUAUGACGAUCUCUUGGAUGGGGUUGUGGAAAGCUUUUGCGGUAUGGGAUGAGCUCGCGGCCUAUCAGCUUGUUGGUGGGGUAAUGGCCUACCAAGGCGUCGACGGGUAGCCGGCCUGAGAGGGUGUACGGCACCUUUGGGUCUGAGACAGGGCCCGCACCCCGAGGGGGGGCGCCAGGGGGGAAUUUGGCACAUUGGGCGCAGGCUUGAUGCGGCGCCGCCGGGUGGGGUAGGAGGGCUUUCGGGUUGUAAACCCCUUCCGCAACCGCCAAAGCCUUUGGGUGACGGUGGGUUGAAAAGAAGCCCCGGCUAACUACGUC
rnacentral:rRNA from 1 species